rnacentral:sRNA from 10 species
GUCAACUACCCCGGCCUAAAGACCGAGGCUUGUGAAAGCAGGCCUGGUUGACCAGCCUAAGUUUUUCGAGAACUACGUUGCAGACAGGUUCAAGACCCACCUCGGAAUGCUUCCUCAGUUCCGAGCUCUGGA